GAGAAGAGUAGUCAGGGAAGUCGCCCCCAGCUGUGGUGGGGUGGGGUUUUUAAGCUGCAAGGGUUCCGCGUUUAGAUCCAGGUGGCCUUUUUGCGUCAGGUCGUGCUGUCGCUAGGUGAUUGGUUGACCUCCAGUUCCUUCUGGCACACUACUAGGGGCUUUUGGGUUGCGCUGGCAAGAUGGCCGUCCCCUCUACUGUGGUUCCAAGGACAUCCUAACAAGCACCAGAUCUAGCUCAAACCAGUUAAACAUUUUGCUGGUUUGUUUUCUUAAACAAUCAAUUGGCUAACUGUAUGGAAGCCCGCUUCUAUGUGCUGUCUUGCAGUCCGUGAGCAUAGUGAUACAAAGGUGGUUUGAAACCUGGCACUCACCAUCAAGGAAGGUAAAGCAUAGAUGGGAAUGCAGAUCUCUCACGUUCAGUAUCUUCCUCCUUCACCCCUCGUGUGGACUCUGUCCUCAGAUCAUUCAGUUCUCCAAAUAUUUUUCUCUUCCUUCUCAUCAGCUACUUACAGAAUUAUACUGUCCUCUUAAGUAUUGCACUAGUUUCUUAAUUUGUUGUAUCCUUAGCCUGCAAUCUGGUCUAGUCUUCUUCCAUUUAUUACUCUUCAGUGGCUCUCCAUUGCCCUGGCCAAAGGACCUGAUAAAGAGAGGCAGGGAUUCUUCAUCUUCUGGCCUCUGCCCAUAUUGCUGGCCUCUCUGCCACUUCCCUGGCACAGCUUUUGCUCCCUUGUGUCUCUGCCAUUGCUCUCUCAUCACAGUACAGGGCCCUUGACCUUUGUCUGUGUGCUGCCGCUGUGAAGUCAUCUCUGGUCUCCUCAACACAGAAACGUUUGCAUCUCAUCGCAUUGUAAUUCUUUACUUGUCUAUUCCCUGUACUAGACUCAGAGUAAACUGCCUCAGGCCUAAGGUUACAUCAUCUCUAUACCCUGUAUCCCCCAUACCCUGGCACGUAGUAAGUAAUCAUUAUGUAAUGUUUAGAUGAAAGCAUGCACAUGAUUUUUGUGGUUAAGCUAAAAAUAGUUCAAAAGACACAAUACGAGACUACAGGAACCCAGAGGGCAUCAGUUGUUUUCCUCUGUUGCACCCUCAAUUCUUGGUUCGAGACCUGACAUAGAGUACAGGCUUAACCAGUAUUUGUUGCAUGAAGACAAUAAGGAAGGUCAGCAAGGACUUCUACAAGUAGGGAAGAGCUCAAUUUGAUCCCUGACCCCAGAAGAUUAAGUAGGGCUUUUUUUGAAGGGUAGCAAGCAGUAAAGGCAUUCUAAGGGUGGUAAUGGCUUUAAGCAAAAAAUUUGGGAAAAUACAGAGUUUGUCUUUAUAGGAACUGAGCUAUUAUUUUUCCCCUCUGAAUGAUUGAUGUGUUCAUAGUGCAGAUGAGAAACCACCAUGAGCUUUUUUUUUUUUUUUUUGGGCUAAUGGAAGAAAAUUCUAUCCACAAAAGUUUUGAACUGUCUUUGUCAAAUGCAAAGAGCAAUUAUUUGGUAAGUGUAAAGUAUGGUUUACACUGUUCUGUUCUGGCAUCAUUAAUGGAUAAGCAAUCUGUUUGUUGAUAUGAGUCUCUCCUAAUGAAGGUUGCUUAGAAGCUAACAAUCUGCAAGGACAUUUUGGGGAACUGACAUUAUUAAGAGUUGAGGAAGUUCAUCCUAUCAAGUAAAGCCAGGGGAAGCUGUGAAAGAGAUAAAGAUUGGAACACAAAGAGGAAAGCAUGGAUGCUAGAUCUCUGUCUCCUGGUGGUUUUCAUCAAAUGAAAUCGGUUACACAAGUUAUUUCAAUUAAGUAGCUGUUGUGAUGGUUCCUUGCAUUGCUAUGAACUGGGCUGUUGUAGGUGCAUUCUCAUUAGGAAAUAGGCAUGUUAUGGGGAAUCCUAUCCCAUUUCAUGACCAGUGCAUUGAUAGCAAGAGUCACCUUUGAUUCUGCAGUUUUAAUUGAAGAUAGCACCUUUUUUGGGGGGCUUUUUAGACUUCAGAAGAAUGCAUAAAACUGAUUUUUCAAACACAUAUGUUUUUGAAACACUAUCAUGCUCAACACUAAACAAUGGCACUGAGAUGGGCUCUGAGAUGAAUUUUAAAUCUGAGGAAUAGGAUAUGCAAGCAAGCUUGACUUUUGUGCAGUGGCAUCGCUGAUUUCCUCUAGGACUGGUGCAUUUAUACAAGAGUUCACCAGGCCACAUAGACUUAAUUAUGAGGUGAAAGAACACUUGCGAUUUUAUUUGCAUCUGUGCUGGUAGCACAAUAGGAAAUUCAAAUUAUGGGAAGAACUGUUGGGAUGACCGUAAUAACGUUGUGAUGAAAAUGAAACUCAGAAAUGUUAAAAUAGCAAGUGUACAAACAAAAAAUAAAUAAAUUCACCUGAUUCUCACUCUAAGUUUUACCCAUGGGAGAAUCUAGGAAUCUAUGAAUUAGAAACACAUCUCAAAUACUUUAAAGAAAAUAUCUAACUUCAAUUUAGCUUUU